UACGUAGGGUGCAAGCGUUGUCCGGAAUUAUUGGGCGUAAAGAGCUCGUAGGCGGUCUGUCGCGUCUGCUGUGAAAACUCGGGGCUUAACCCCGGGCCUGCAGUGGGUACGGGCAGACUAGAGUGCGGUAGGGGAGACUGGAAUUCCUGGUGUAGCGGUGAAAUGCGCAGAUAUCAGGAGGAACACCGGUGGCGAAGGCGGGUCUCUGGGCCGUAACUGACGCUGGGGAGCGAAAGCGUGGGGAGCGAACAGG
rnacentral:rRNA from 1 species